AUGUCAUUCAACCGUCUUGAUGGUGAAGUUCCAGAAGGUGUCUUCAAGAACACAACUGCCAUACGCAUCGGCGGAAAUCAUCGGCUCUGCAGUGGAGUCCUAGAGCUACAGCUACCUGCAUGCCUUGUUACAAUUUCAAGCCCGUCCAAGCACACUUGGCCACUAUGUUUCAAAGUGAUGAUUCCACUAGCUAGCAUGGUGCUACUUGCCGGUUUCGUGUCCAUGCUACUUUUCUGGAGGAAAAAGCAAAGGAGAGAAUCGAUGUCUCUACCUUCUUUUGGUAGAAAUUUCCCCAAAGUUUCUUAUGAUGAUAUCGCCAAAGCAACUGAAGGGUUCUCCUUGUCCAACGUAAUCAGCAGUGGAAGGUACAGUUCGGUAUAUAAAGCCAAACUGUUUCGAGAUGGAAAUGUGGCUGCUGUGAAAGUCUUUGCUCUCGGGACAAGGGGAGCAUAA
rnacentral:rRNA from 1 species